UACAGAGGAGCCAAGCGUUGUCCGGAUUGACUGGGCGUAAAGCGCACGCAGGCGGACGCGCGCGUGGGGUGUGAAAUCUGGCCGCUUAACGGCCAGGCGCCAUCCCAUACGGCGCGUCUGGAGUGAUGCAGAGGUCGGUGGAAUUGCCGGUGUAGUGGUGAAAUGCGUAGAGAUCGGCAGGAACACCCAGGGGUAAACCAGCCGACUGGGCAUCUACUGACGCUGAGGUGCGAGAGCGUGGGGAGCGAACCGG
rnacentral:rRNA from 1 species